ensembl:lncRNA
CGCAGCCGUUUCUGCGGAUCGUGCGCCGCGGAGUUCCGGCGGUGCCGGCUCCGUUUCUGGGGGGCGGCCGCGAUCCUGGGCCGGAGCUCUCUGUCCGGCUCCCGCAAGCGUCCCGGUCCCCGGGGCUUCUUGCUGCGGCUCGGGUUGAUGAGGGGAGCGCGGAGCCCGUGCCGGCUCCCAGCUGCUCGGGAGCGCGUCAGCUGCGCUUCGUCCUUCCCGGGAGGCCCUCGGCAGCCGCGUGCGGAUAUGCUCCUCGCGGGGGAAACUGCUGUGAGGGGUGCGUUUCAAGAAGUAAGAAUGCAGCACCGCUCAUGUGGUUCAAGGUGAAGCUCAGCCGUAAGCAGCAAGCAUGUGAAAUGGCGUGCAGCACGAAGGUGAGCUGCCCAGGCCCAUUUCCAGCUGUGAACAGCCCGGCUUUUGAACUGCAAAUGUGUGGGAUGCCUUGGCUUGUAGUCAUGUGGGCGCAGAGGAGCUUCACACACAUCAGCAUGUUUCCUAAGUGUAAUUCUAGGUACCAAUUUGACAAGUGAGCACCUAAAAAUCACAGAUGCUACAGUCUCAGUAAUUUCAGGAGGAUGUAAAUACUGUCAGGUAUGUUUAAGUGCUUUCACGAGGUGGAGCUUAAAUAGUGUAUAGAAUCCAUAAACCAAAAGCCACAUGUAGCCUUAUGUGAACGCAGAGGAAGGCAGAUUUGCAGCCUCCUCAAUAGAAACCGUUGGCUGUAUUUCCUUUGCUCAUUUUUUUUCCCUUCUCACUUCCUCUGUCAGAACCAUUUCUAUUAAUGAUAUCUAUCUUCUAAGUGUAUAGACUUUAAACUGCCAACUCACUCUUUGUAGUAGAGGAAAUCCUUGCGUUCCUUACCUGGUGGAUUCUCACUCUGCUCUGUGGCCCAUAGCUCCUAUGCAGGCAGCACUAAGGGACAGACCCUGCGUGUGUUCCUCUGUUCCUGCCUGCCCUCCAACAGCUGUCAUUUGCUUCUGCACCCAUUUUUAGAAAGUGACAGGGUCCCGUGUGUCCUGUACGCUGUUUAUUGGCAACUCGACCCUUGCUGCCUGUUCCCAAUAUUAAAGUGCCUACCUUAAAGCUUUAUCGAUUAAAUAGUUUCAAAGUGGUUAAUGAGAAGUUCUGUACAGGUUCUGAGCAACAUCAAAAAUGUCUUCUGAGAUUUAAAGUAUUUUCUCCAAGGCUUUGGGACGGUUGCCAUGUUGUUUGAAACAGUGUGGUAAAACAUUGGCAAUUUAAGUUUCUGAUGCAAAGCCCUAAGUAAAUAGAAGGUAUAGCCCUGCAACGAUGAGAUUUUCAUACCAGUUGCGCUGCGAAAUGCUUUCAGGUUGUUUCUUCAUUUGUCACUGUUAUCAUGUAAGAAAUAUCAAUGAAAUCUGAGUCAGCCAAACAAAAAAUAAACUGCUUUAUUGUCUCAAAUAAAUGAGAAGUGCUUUUAGCUA